UACGUAGGCAGCGAGCGUUGUUCGGAGUUACUGGGCGUAAAGGGCGAGUAGGUGGCCAUCUAAGUCAGACGUGAAAUCCCCCGGCUUAACCUGGGAACUGCGUCUGAUACUGGACGGCUUGAGUAUGGGAGAGGAACGUAGAAUUCCAGGUGUAGCGGUGAAAUGCGUAGAUAUCUGGAGGAAUACCGGUGGCGAAGGCGGGUCUCUGGGCAAUUCCUGACGCUGAGGCGCGAAAGCGUGGGGAGCAAACGGG
rnacentral:rRNA from 1 species